GCAGUUUGCUGUUCUUAAGCCAACAAGCUCCAAGGGCCAGCACGCACUUCCUGUCCUGCUGGCCGGACUGGGCCUGGUGACCCUGUCGCCGCAGGCCUUUUGCAGCACAGGCUCUGAGAGCAACGGUGCGGUUGCCUGACUGUCACGGAACAAACACACACCAGGCGAGCACUAGCCUGAGGCCGAGGGGCACAUGGAGCUGGCCUGAGCCCAGCCAGGAGUCUGGAAGCAAGCCCAGCUCCUCCCGGCCGUGCCCUCGAGGGCCUGACCGCGAAACGCUCGUACGCACGGGUUGGAGUUGUUUGCCACGCGUGGCAACUGCGGCAGGAACCUGACUCACGCACGGACGCCAGCACCCACAAGUGAGAGGCGCCUCAGACACGUGGUGUCGGCUUUGGAAGCAGCUGGUGGGUGGUGAGGAAAUGUCACAGCUCUGGAAAGACAGAGGCCUCUGUAAGGUGGUGUCAAAAUGCCAGGUUGAAUCAACAGUCAUCUGCGGGGACUCUGAAGGCAGGCAAUCCGCCCAGUGAACUGGCAGCACCGGGCAGGAGGGUCUGGAGGGAGAACCCUGGUGGCAUGGCUGGUGUGUGAGGAUCAAAGGCAGAGGAGAUCUUUCCUCUUCAGCAUGGUAAUUUGGCACUGGGCUAAGCCUCCAGCUGCCUCCCGCUGGUGACCUGGUAAAGGGGAACAUAAACUCCUUUGGUCGGCAACAUUGCUUACGGCAACACUGCCCUGUGGCAGGCAGACCACGUGGGGACUGGGGAGUCAUUGGUGUCUGGGAGGCCACGUCACUGGCCUUCCUGAGUGAUCCCCACACCUGGGAAUGUGCCCUGCGGGCCAUAGCCGCGGGAUUGCUGCAGGAGGAACUUCGCCUCCCGUGGGGCAAGAGGCAUCUCCGUGAGUGGGUCCCAGCCCCUGAAUCGCAGUGGGAAUCAGGGAGGCGGCAACACCUGCGUGCCGUCAUAAAGACCCCCACCAUGCCCUCGUAAAGACCCCCAUCACACCGUCCUGAAGACCCCCACAUACCCUCGUAAAGACCCCAUCACACCAUCCUAAAGACCCCCACACACACUCGUAAAGACCCCAUCACACCAUCCUGAAGACCCCACACACCCUCGUAAAGACCCCAUCACACCGUCCUAAAGACCCCCACAUACCCUCGUAAAGACCCCCAUCACACCGUCCUGAAGACCCCCACACACCCUCGUAAAGACCCCAUCACACCGUCCUGAAGACCCCCACACACACUCGUAAAGACCCCAUCACACCAUCCUGAAGACCCCACACACCCUCGUAAAGACCCCAUCACACCGUCCUGAAGACCCCACACACACUCGUAAAGACCCCAUCACACCAUCCUGAAGACCCCACACACCCUCGUAAAGACCCCAUCACACCGUCCUGAAGACCCCACACACCCUCGUAAAGACCCCAUCACACCGUCCUGAAGACCCCACACACCCUCGUAAAGACCCCAUCACACCGUCCUGAAGACCCCACACACCCUCGUAAAGACCCCAUCACACCAUCCUGAAGACCCCACACACCCUCGUAAAGACCCCAUCACACCAUCCUGAAGACCCCACACACCCUCGUAAAGACCCCAUCACACCGUCCUAAAGACCCCCACACACCCUCGUAAAGACCCCAUCACACCAUCCUGAAGACCCCACACACACUCGUAAAGACCCCAUCACACCGUCCUAAAGACCCCCCCUAUUGCCGGGCGCGGUGGCUCACGCCUGUAAUCCCAGCACCUUGGGAGGCUGAGGCGGCGGAUCACGAGGUCAGGAGGUGGAGACCAUCCUGACUAACACGGUGAAACCCCAUCUCU
rnacentral:lncRNA from 1 species